AUUGAACGCUGGCGGCAGGCCUAACACAUGCAAGUCGAGCGGAGCGGCGGACGGGGGAGUAAUGCCUAGGAAUCUGACUGGUCGUGGGGGAUAACGUCCGGAAACGGGCGCUAAUACUGCAUACUCUCAGAUGAGGCUAGUGCGGAGUAGCUAGUUGGUGGGGUAAAGGCCUACCAAGGCGACGAUCCGUAACUGGACCGAGAGGAUGAGCAGUCACACUGGAACUGAGACACGGUCCAGACGCCUACGGGAGGCAGCAGUGGGGAAUAUUGGACAAUGGGCGAAAGCCUGAUCCAGCCAUGCCGCGUGUGUGAAGAAGGUCUUCGGAUUGUAAAGCACUUUAAGUUGGGAGGCGUUACCAACAGAAUAAGCACCGGCUAACUUCGUGCCAGCAGCCGCGGUAAUUC
rnacentral:rRNA from 1 species